GACGAACGCUGGCGGCGUGCUUAACACAUGCAAGUCGAACGAAGUGGCGAACGGGUGAGUAAUACGUGAGUAACCUGCCCUCCUUUUUGGGAUAAGACUUGGAAACGGGGUCUAAUACCGAAUAAAGGGGGAUAGGCGAGCGGCCUAUCAGCUUGUUGGUGGGGUGAUGGCUGACCAAGGCGGUGACGGGUAGCCGGCCUGAGAGAAUUAAAGUCAUCAGUGGGACUUGGCUAGCACCCGACCUCAUACACUGUGAACCAGUGAGGGAGAGUGCACAAUGGGCGAAGACCUGAUGCAGCGAAGCCGCGUGGAGUAUGAAGGCUUUCGAGUUGUAAACCUCUUUCGCUAUCGAACGGGUAGGUGGAGAAGAAGCGCCGGCUAACUACGUGCCAGCAGCCGCGGUAAUUC
rnacentral:rRNA from 1 species